AUUGAACGCUGGCGGCAGGCCUAACACAUGCAAGUCGAGCGGAUGAAGGGAGCUUGCUCCUGGAUUCAGCGGCGGACGGGUGAGUAAUGCCUAGGAAUCUGCCUGGUAGUGGGGGAUAACGUCCGGAAACGGGCGCUAAUACCGCAUACGUCCUGAGGGAGAAAGUGGGGGAUCUUCGGACCUCACGCUAUCAGAUGAGCCUAGGUUGGAUUAGCUAGUUGGUGGGGUAAAGGCCUACCAAGGCGACGAUCCGUAACUGGUCUGAGAGGAUGAUCAGUCACACUGGAACUGGGACACGGUCCAGACUCCUACGGGAGGCAGCAGUGGGGAAUAUUGGACAAUGGGCGAAAGCCUGAUCCAGCCAUGCCGCGUGUGUGAAGAAGGUCUUCGGAUUGUAAAGCACUUUAAGUUGGGAGGAAGGGCAGUAAGUUAAUACCUUGCUGGUUUGACGUUACCAACAGAAUAAGCACCGGCUAACUUCGUG
rnacentral:rRNA from 1 species